rnacentral:lncRNA from 1 species
GUUUGUAAGGAAAGAACUUGGAACAGAAUUGUUGACAGGAGAAAGAGUCCGAUCGCCCGGCGAGGAUGUUGACAAGGUGUUCACAGCAUUGUGCAAUGGACAAAUCAUUGAUCCAUUGUUGGAGUGUCUCAAGAGCUGGAAUGGUGCUCCUCUUCCAAUCUUUUAGGUGUCUUGCAAAAAAAAAAAAAGACCUUUUUUGAAAGCAAUGGUGAAAAAGAUGUCCUGUAUUUGGAUUUGGCUUUGUUUUUUUUCUUGGAUAUGUUUGUUUCAGGUUGUUUAACACAAGACAACAAUAAAUAUGUUUUUAGUUUCAAAUAAGUUGGGUCUAAGAAUCCUCAUUUCUAUAUUAAAGUUCAACUCAUGUCAUCACCAUUUUAUAUUACCAAAAAGUUCAUCUCAUGUCCAACUGAGGCAAUUUAACAACUUAGACCAAGUUUUUUUUAAAAAAGAAUGGCAAUGGAUACUAAAAGCUGAAUGUUUCUUGGUUAGAUAUCUGAAACCUAUCCAAUUUAAGAUACUUUCAACUGGCUGUAAAACAUCGAGUAUGAAUUAGUUUUUUUUUCGUGCUCAAAUGGUCGUGGUAUAGUCAGUUUCAUACAAGACCAUGAAGAUGGCACUUAUAAGACAUUGUUGAACAAAGCUACAAUGUCUCAUAUGACAUCGUUUCAUAUGAUAUUAUUUCUAGAGUAGAACAAAAUCAUAAACAAGAGUAAGAAUGUCUAUUGAGAUGGAAAACAACUACCUCAUAAAUCACUAAGAAGUCUCGGAAAAAAGAGAAUAAAUCACAAAGGUCCGUUUUAGUAACCUACAAAAAAUUGUAGAAGCAAAGGGUGAGUACUAAAUCACACGGUACUCAACAAGGAAACCUCUAAACACAAGCUAAGGGUAUGAAAUACGGGUACUCCUACCACCCCAACUGAACUUCCACUACUACAACCUGCAUAAAAAUCAGUCCAACCUAACAGCUCACAAUUUACAUAGCACAUAACUCAACAACAACACUUAGACAAAUUAAAUAUUCUCAACAACAAUAUUUUGACAAAUUACAUAUCCUCAACACAACACUUUAACAAAUUACAUAUCCUCAACAACAAGCUUAGUAUUCAUUAAUCUCAAGUUCCACAAAAAGGCAUUCCCAAGAUCAGCAAAACACAAUAUCAAGUUCACUAAUGAUAAGUAUGUGUACUGCAAUGUCAAGUAUAAUGAUGCAUGUCUGACCUAGUGAUACACACCCACUGUCUCUCACUCCGGGACCCAUAGGGGACAUAACUGUCCAUGCAAUUAUCGCGGUGCACGACAGGACCCUCGAUAAUAGUAACCAUCGCGACGCGCGAUACGUCCCUCGAUAUAUAGUAUCCAUCGCGGCGUGUGAUAUGUCCCUCAAAAUAUAGUAUUCAUCAUGGCGCGUGAUACGUCCCUCGAAAUGGUACAUGCUCUUUAGUUUCUUAUCUUUCUCUAUGCACAUAACACUUGUCACAACCAAGUCUCAAAAUAUGCAAAUGACAUGUUCACAAAAAAUAACAAGGGAUGAUCAUUUUCGUAACAUUUCACAAUUCACAACAACAUCAACAAUGAUUCAACAAGCCUUUCAAACCAUUCUCCAUUAUCAACACCCCCACCAUAUUUUCUCUUUUUUUCAAUAAAAAAAAAAUAAAAUCCAACGUUGCAUGAAUGAAUCACAUUAUCCUCAAACCUCAACCGUUAAUUACACUUAAAAAUUCACCACUUUUAAUCUUUACGUACCAAUACAUUUCUUCCUCUAUUUAAACUCACCACACUUCCCUUCUAUCACAACCAAAAUAAGAAAAAAAAAAUCACAACAUUUUUUUUUGCAUAAAUAAAUUCCAUUUUCUUUAAAGUUUUUCAAUUACAAUUCUAGGCAUUUUAUUGAUCCAAUGGCCUCAUCAAUUGCACAAAAUGUACAUGUUAGUGUUCAUGAUCCAUUGAAUUGGGAAAUGGCUGCUGAAUCUUUAAGAGGGAGUCAUUUAGAUGAAGUGAAAAAGAUGGUAGAUGAAUUUAGAAAGACAAUUGUGAAACUUGAGGGUGAAAAUUUGACUAUUGGAGAAGUUGCAUCCAUUGCAAAUGCUAAUAACAAAACUAAUGGGGUCAAAGUGGAACUUUCUGAAAGUUCAAGGGCUUGUGUGAAAGCUAGUAGUGAUUGGAUUAUGGAUAGUGUUAGUAAAGGAAAAGAUAUUUAUGGUAUUACUACUGGUUUUGGUGCUAAUUCUAAAAGAAGAACAAAAAAUGGCGGUGGUCUUCAAAAAGAACUUAUUAGGUAAAUAAAACAACUUAAUUUUCAUCUAAAUUAUUCGAUAUAUAUAUAUAUUGAUAGUGUAAAUAAUUUUAUUUUUUUUAUAUUUUUCGACCUUGUUUUUCGGAUCAAUGAUGAUUAUGAUGAUACUGAAGAGUUUUAGUUGUUCUUCGUGUGAUCUAAUCAUGUAAAGAUUUCUAUAAUCUCCGUGUUAUGUCAAUUAUCUUUUUUUUGUGUUAUUAAUUCUGUGCAUACUUUAUGAAUUUUUUAUAUGAUCUGAUGACAUAAAAAUUAUUUUUCGUGACGAAGUAUAAAAUUAUGUCUAACUGUCUUAUUUUUGUGUGCUAUUGAUUCCAUCGUACUUAUAUUUAUUUGUCAUGUGAUUAGAUAGCCUAAAAAAGAUUUAGUAUAUUAUAUUUUGAAGCAAUAGCUAGUAAUGGUCUACUUUUUGAGUUAAUAAAAUAAGUGAUCCACUAUAACUCUCGUCUCUUACGAGAAACUUUCUCGAUUUAUUUUUAUAUAUUUUUGUUUGAUUUGAUAAAAUUAUUUAAAAAAAUUACUAAUAUAUGUAUUUUAUCAAAUUAUAUUUAUGAAAUGAUAUCUAGUAUUAGAUUUUGAAAAGUAAUUUAGAGAAUAAAUAUAAAAAAAUGAUAAAUAAAAAUAAAAAUCUAUUUUAAACUUAAUGAUAAGUAAAAGUGAAAGGAGAGUAUAUAGUCAAAUUGUAAAAAAGAAGAAGAUAAUAUUAAUGCAAUUUGACUUUUGUAGCAAGUUAUUAGUUUAUUUAUUAGUGUUAUAAAGUUAAUAAAUAAUGUCACAUAUCAUGCAUGUGAGAUAUGGAAAAGGGGAUAUUUUAAGGGCAACUUUCACGUAUAGUAAACAUAUAAAUUUUAUAUUUUUAUGCUGUAGCAAAGUUUGCAUAAUUCUACUCCAUAUCAAAUAUAUAUAUUGUAUAAUUCAAUAUACAUAUACAAUUGAAGCGAAUUGUAUAAAACGAAAUGUAUAAAAUGAGAAAGAGAAAGAAAAUUGAGCAGAGAAUUGUAUAAAACGAAUUGUAUAAUUAUAAGUGUGUAGAACGAUUAUAUACAAUUGUACAAAUGAAAAAGAGAGAAAGACAAAAGAGACUUGGGCAGGGAAUAUACAAUUGAAUCGAAUUGUAUAAAACGAGAAAGAGAAAAAAAUAUAUACAAUUUGAAUUUGUAUAAAACGAGAAAGAGAGAAAGGCAAAAGAACUGGCAGGGAAGUAUUUUUAUUAUAUAAUUAUAAGUGUAUAGGACGAACAUAUAUGUAUUUGCAUGUGUAUAUACAAUUUUCUCUCGCUUUAUACAAAAAGAAACACAAUUUAUACAGUUCGUUUAUGUUUCUAUAAGCGAGAGAGACGACGGUGGCGAGCAAGAUCUGGAAGAGGGGAGAGAGGGGAAGAAAAAUAUAUAUAUUUAUACAAUUUUCUCUCGCUUUAUACAAAUGAAAACAUAUUUUAUACACUUGUGUUUGUAUAAAAGUGAGAGGAAGCGAAAGAGAGAGGAGAGUGGCGAGCGAGAGUUUGAGGGAGAGAGGUGACUGACAAACAGUUUGCUACGGGGCACAAUUAAAUCAAAGGAUGGUUACAGCAAUUAAUUUGAUUUAUUAAUUUGUCAUUAUAUACAAUUUUCCCAUAUUUUAAUCAUUUCACUUCAUUCAAAUCUUUUCUUUUCUAAAAAACAAUAAUUCUUUAUCAACUUGAAAGGUCGUGUGAAGACUAACAAAUGUAAUUAAACAAUGCGACAUUGAAUAAAAAUAACUCGAGUUAGUAGUUUAGUCUGAAAAUGUUUCUACCAUCAAUAAUUUGAUCCAAAAUUGGAUGCUUGUGCUCGAAUCUUUGACACAUGCUGUUUUGAUGAUACAUGUUCUAUUUUGUAUAUAUAUAGUUAAUAGAAUUCAGUUCAAAGUCUAAUGUUGAAUUUACAGGUUCUUGAAUGCUGGAGUAUUUGGCAAUGGAACAGAAAGUUGUCAUACAUUGCCACACUCAGCAACAAGGGCAGCUAUGCUUGUUAGGAUCAACACUCUGCUUCAAGGCUACUCUGGCAUUAGAUUUGAAAUCUUGGAAGCAAUUACAAAGUUGAUCAACAGUAACAUCACCCCAUGUUUGCCCCUCCGUGGCACGCUCACUGCCUCGGGUGAUCUAGUCCCUCUAUCCUACAUUGCUGGUUUGCUCAUUGGUAGGCCUAAUUCCAAGGCUGUUGGACCCAAUGGUGAGAUACUUAAUGCUGAAGAAGCGUUUCGCGUUGCUGGUAUUAGUGGUGGAUUUUUCGAGUUCCAGCCUAAGGAAGGAUUUGCAAUUACAAAUAGCACAGCAGUUGGUUCUGGUAUGGCAUCAAUUGUCCUGUUUGAGUCCAACAUUCUUGUUGUAAUGUCUGAAGUUUUAUCAGCGAUUUUCGCUGAAGUGAUGAAUGGAAAGCCUGAAUUCACUGACCAUUUGACACACAAGUUGAAGUAUCAUCCUGGUCAAAUUGAGGCUGCUGCUAUUAUGGAACAUAUUUUGGAUGGCAGCUCUUAUGUGAAGGCAGCUCAAAAGCUUCAUGAAAUGGAUCCUCUUCAAAAACCAAAGCAAGAUCGUUAUGCUCUCCGAACAUCUCCACAAUGGCUUGGACCUCAAAUUGAAAUCAUUCGUGCUGCAACUAAGAUGAUUGAGAGGGAGAUUAACUCAGUGAAUGACAAUCCGUUGAUCGAUGUUUCAAGAAGCAAGGCAUUGCAUGGUGGUAAUUUCCAAGGCACCCCUGUUGGUGUCUCUAUGGAUAAUACAAGAUUGGCUCUUGCAUCAAUUGGGAAAUUGAUGUUUGCUCAGUUCUCGGAACUUGUCAACGACUAUUACAACAAUGGGUUGCCAUCUAAUCUCACAGGAGGAAGGGAUCCAAGCUUGGACUAUGGUUUCAAGGGAGCUGAAAUCGCGAUGGCUUCUUACUGCUCGGAACUUCAGUUCUUGGCAAAUCCAGUCACUAACCAUGUCCAAAGUGCUGAGCAACACAACCAAGAUGUGAACUCCUUGGGCUUAAUCUCCGCUAGGAAAACAGCUGAGGCUGUCGAUAUCUUGAAGCUAAUGUCAUCAACCUAUUUAGUGGCACUUUGCCAAUCUAUAGACUUGAGGCAUUUGGAGGAAAACUUGAAGAAUGCAGUAAAGGACACAGUUAGCCAAGUAGCAAAGAGAACUUUGACAAUGGAUGCUAAUGGUGAGCUUCAUCCAGCAAGAUUCUGCGAAAAGGAAUUGCUUCUAGUCGUGGACAGGGAAUACUUGUUUGCCUAUGCUGAUGAUCCUUGCAGUUCCAACUACCCUUUGAUGCAGAAGCUGAGACAAGUCCUUGUUGAUUAUGCAAUGAAGAAUGGUGAAAGUGAGAAAAAUGUGAACAGCUCAAUCUUCCAAAAAAUUGGAGCUUUCGAGGACGAAUUAAAGGUUGUGUUGCCUGAUGAAGUAGAGAAUGCAAGAGUUGUUCUUGAAGGUGGAAGCCCUUUAAUUCCUAACAGGAUCACAGAAUGCAGAUCAUAUCCAUUGUACAGGUUUGUAAGGAAAGAACUUGGAACAGAAUUGUUGACAGGAGAAAGAGUCCGAUCGCCCGGCGAGGAUGUUGACAAGGUGUUCACAGCAUUGUGCAAUGGACAAAUCAUUGAUCCAUUGUUGGAGUGUCUCAAGAGCUGGAAUGGUGCUCCUCUUCCAAUCUUUUAGGUGUCUUGCAAAAAAAAAAAGACCUUUUUUGAAAGCAAUGGUGAAAAAGAUGUCCUGUAUUUGGAUUUGGCUUUGUUUUUUUUCUUGGAUAUGUUUGUUUCAGGUUGUUUAACACAAGACAACAAUAAAUAUGUUUUUAGUUUCAAAUAAGUUGGGUCUAAGAAUCCUCAUUUCUAUAUUAAAGUUCAACUCAUGUCAUCACCAUUUUAUAUUACCAAAAAGUUCAUCUCAUGUCCAACUGAGGCAAUUUAACAACUUAGACCAAGUUUUUUUUAAAAAAGAAUGGCAAUGGAUACUAAAAGCUGAAUGUUUCUUGGUUAGAUAUCUGAAACCUAUCCAAUUUAAGAUACUUUCAACUGGCUGUAAAACAUCGAGUAUGAAUUAGUUUUUUUUUCGUGCUCAAAUGGUCGUGGUAUAGUCAGUUUCAUACAAGACCAUGAAGAUGGCACUUAUAAGACAUUGUUGAACAAAGCUACAAUGUCUCAUAUGACAUCGUUUCAUAUGAUAUUAUUUCUAGAGUAGAACAAAAUCAUAAACAAGAGUAAGAAUGUCUAUUGAGAUGGAAAACAACUACCUCAUAAAUCACUAAGAAGUCUCGGAAAAAAGAGAAUAAAUCACAAAGGUCCGUUUUAGUAACCUACAAAAAAUUGUAGAAGCAAAGGGUGAGUACUAAAUCACACGGUACUCAACAAGGAAACCUCUAAACACAAGCUAAGGGUAUGAAAUACGGGUACUCCUACCACCCCAACUGAACUUCCACUACUACAACCUGCAUAAAAAUCAGUCCAACCUAACAGCUCACAAUUUACAUAGCACAUAACUCAACAACAACACUUAGACAAAUUAAAUAUUCUCAACAACAAUAUUUUGACAAAUUACAUAUCCUCAACACAACACUUUAACAAAUUACAUAUCCUCAACAACAAGCUUAGUAUUCAUUAAUCUCAAGUUCCACAAAAAGGCAUUCCCAAGAUCAGCAAAACACAAUAUCAAGUUCACUAAUGAUAAGUAUGUGUACUGCAAUGUCAAGUAUAAUGAUGCAUGUCUGACCUAGUGAUACACACCCACUGUCUCUCACUCCGGGACCCAUAGGGGACAUAACUGUCCAUGCAAUUAUCGCGGUGCACGACAGGACCCUCGAUAAUAGUAACCAUCGCGACGCGCGAUACGUCCCUCGAUAUAUAGUAUCCAUCGCGGCGUGUGAUAUGUCCCUCAAAAUAUAGUAUUCAUCAUGGCGCGUGAUACGUCCCUCGAAAUGGUACAUGCUCUUUAGUUUCUUAUCUUUCUCUAUGCACAUAACACUUGUCACAACCAAGUCUCAAAAUAUGCAAAUGACAUGUUCACAAAAAAUAACAAGGGAUGAUCAUUUUCGUAACAUUUCACAAUUCACAACAACAUCAACAAUGAUUCAACAAGCCUUUCAAACCAUUCUCCAUUAUCAACACAUCACAUAUUACCUUUUUUUUCAUCAUUAGAAUUAAUCAAUGUGGACAAGUCAACCCAUCACCAAGCCUUAUUACUCUCGAACAUAUACCACAAGAAAAUACACGUAUCUCAUACACUUAACAAGGGUUUAGAAAUCCACUUACCUCAUAUAAUCAAAAAUUCACUCCAACACUUGACCCUUUUGUUAACCUUAUGUAUAUUUUAAUAGUGACAAGCUACUCUCACUAACUAAGUCAUACGAUGCAAAAAAGGAAAAAGACGGAGACUACGACGGACUGCAGGAAUCACAAUAAAAUUAAGCAGAAAGGAAAAGGAUAUCUGACCAAUCAAGAUCAACCAAACACAAUUGGCAGCAAAUCAAAUGAUUACAGAAAUCACGAUAAAUAAGAAAAGUGAAUAUUUGAUCAAUCAGAUCAAACAUCACAGCUUGGAAUCAAAAGGAUGCACACAAGGAAGAUUCAAUCAAGCAACAUCAUAAAGACAAAUAAAAUGCAGUACCAUCGACUAGCUCACCUUAAAGGGAAAUCAAAUCAAGAUUCAAGAUCAAGCCAAGACUCAAGACCUUAAACAAAGAAAAGAAUUGAUUUGUCAUGCACAUAUCUGAUAUGGACAUGACUCAACAAAUCAAUCACAAGGUGAAUCAAGGAUAAGAUCAAAGAUCCUUAAUUCAAAUACCUUGGGUUUCUGACAAGAGCAAUCACUAUAUAAACCUCCUUAACCAUUAGUGUGAAGUACGCAUCUUCACUUGAACUUAUUUGUGAUCUUCUUUCAUCUUUGUAAGACCCUGUACACGAGAGUGAAUUAUUGUAAAAGAAAAAGAAAAGAAAAGAUUUUGAGAGUAGGUUAUACAAGUAGAGACAGUGUCGCGUAUAGAAGAUCUGAUUUGCAUAUCAGACAGGAUCCAAAGUCUACCCAUUCUGUAAACCAAGUUGAUCAAGCUCUUAAGGAAACUCUUUAAACCCAAGGGGACUGGACUAGACACCACAUCGGUGACCGGAACCAGUAUAAAACAUUCAGUGUUCACUUACUUUUCAGUAUACUACUUUAUUAUAUUUUACUGAACUAACCUGCAGGGAAGUCGACUAUUGCACUAAGGCAGUAUCGACUGGACAACAAAUUUUAAUUCACCCCCCCCCCCUCUAUCUUUCACCUUCCACUUUCAUUGAGCUCCCAAAUAAAUGCAAUUUAUUCACAUAAUAAUCGCAAUAAGAUUGUGAAACUAACAACACUUAUAUCACUAUGUGUUUACCGUACACAAAAAAAUCUCACUAAAAAAUAUACAAACAAAUUUCUAAAUUUCAAAUCUAGAAUUAAUUCUUAAUUUCUUCCAACAAUACAAUCAUAAUAGCUUUCGUAUAAUAUAAUACACUUUAUAUUUAAUUACCUAUGUUAAUAUAUCAAGCUAAGUUAACUAUAUAAUAAUGUGAUGAAUCUAAAGAAAAAGAAAGGAGCAGUAUAUUAGUAAUAACCUUUCUCUUAUUGCGAAAUUUACUACCAAAAAACAUCAAUCAUUGGCAAUAUAAUUAGCAAUGGAAGUUGAAUGACAAUUUUUGUCUCCAAAAGCCUAACACGUUGAACCCUUUCUCCAUUCUCACCCUUUUUAAUUCAUUUAUUUUAUUUAUGUUUACAAACCCACAAAUAAAACUAUACUAGUUCCAAUCCAUUUCAAUCCAAAUUAUAGAAUAUCAAAGAUUUAACACCUAAUUUCUUAAUUGUGCACUUCUUUUCAAUCCUUAAUUGUGCUCAAGCUUUCCCCUGCAGCUUAAGUUUUUCUUCUUUAUUUUAUUUUUUUUCUUCUAUAUUAAUUAUGUAAUUAAAGUAAUAAAUUUCACUAACCUAAUUUAAUACCUAUCAAUUUAAUAAUUUCAGUUAUCGAAUAGUUCAAAAUUUUAAAAUCAAACUUUAUCAAAUAAUAAAAAUAAAUUACUCAGAAAAACUAUUGGGAGGUGUAAAUGAUUAUUUUAUUUAAAAAAAAUAUAUAUAUAUAAUGGCUUUCUGGAUCAUUAUAUAUAUACAAUAAAAAAUUAUUGCUUAUACAUAUUAUUUUAAAAAAAGGAACUCUUAUAGUUACUAAAAAUGUCAAAUCACAUUUUAAACUCCGUUUACUUUAAUAAUUUAAUUUUUUUUAUUCUAUCAGAAAUAAAGUUGUAUUUGUAUUUUCCUAUUUUAAUUUUUUUUGUAUUUUCAUUCUAAAUUAUUGUCCAUUUUAGUUGUUCUCUUUAUCUAGAGAAAAUUUUAUUUUUCUCAAAUAAAUUAUUUAUCAAGUUAUUUCUCAAAUCAUUAUUCAUUAAGUUCUUAAAAGCGUGCAAAUUGCAUUAGAACUGUUCAUGGUUUUGGUUAAAAAAACAAAUCGAAUUGUAACUUAAAUUAAAUUGAUUAAAUAAUCGAUAUUUGAUUGGAUUUGAUUAGAUUUGAUAUUAAAUUUUAAAAAUUGAUAUUAUUUUAUUUGAUUUUGAUUAUGCUAAAAACUCGUAAAAAUAAGCAAAUCGAACCGAUAAAUUAGAUAUAUAAAAUUUUAUAAUUAUUUAUAUAUAAUUUAUAAAUAAAAUAUAGUUAUUUUGUUAAAUUUUAAUUUAUUUUAAUCUUUAACUUUACAAUUUUCUCAAGCCCAACAUUUUAGUCCAACUAUAACAAUCUUAUGUCCAAGUCCAUCAAAAUCAAUUUUAGUCUUUAUCUACCCUACUUGGCUACUUCACAUAAAAUAAUCACACUUUCUCUUAAUCGAAAUACUUUUUUCGUGUAAUUAUAACAUUACUAUUGAGUAAUUGCUUAAUUCAACCGACAAUAGUUUUUUGUGUGAAUUGUUCAUGUAUUAGAUGUUUCUGUUUAUUGAUGUAAGUCCUCAAAACAUUACUGUUACUUUCAAAUCGAAUAUACCAGAAAAACUCAACCAAGCCGACGAUUAUUUUUUUCGUUUGGUUUGAUUUUAAAAUUUUUAAAAAUUGGCUAAAAUAAUUUGAUUUUAAUUUUAAUCAAUAACCGAUCUAAACCGAACGACGAACAUCCCUACUCUUUAUUAAGAUGUCAUGACACAUUAUUCUUUUUUUAACAACAAUUUUUUCUUUUUUGAAACUACACUUAUUAUAUUUACUUUAAUUUUAGAAUCUCUCUGUAGGAGAAAUUUAGAUUCUACUCCCUCCGUCCAUCUUUAUAACUUUACUUGUUCAGAGUUAAUUUAAUAUUUUUCUUAAGAAUAAUAAACAGAUUGAUAAUUUUACUAUAUCAUUUUCUGAAUAUGAUAAAUUUUAAAAAUCCGUUGAUAAAUGACUAUAAUUAAUAAUAAGAGUAAAUUAGAAAUUAAGUGAUAAAUUAUCUCUUGAUUUUUUAAAGUAAACAAGUAAAAAAAUAAUUAUUUAAUUAUAAUAUAAUGAAUAAAUAAAAAUGGACAGAGAAAAUAGUUGCUAGGAAAAUGUAAGAUACAUUUUUGGUGCAAAAUUGAUGAGUUGUGUCCUGUACCUUGUAUUUGCAGCGUAAGUUGUUGAUUUUGCAACUUUAACUUGGUCAAAAGUCUCUCUUUGAUUCACUAGGAAACAAAGUUUGAUUCACAAACUUAAUGUCUAUUUUUGUCAGGAUCCGAGCUUACACCUUGGACGUGACCGACACUAAAGAAUCAUUAUUGGUCCCUAAGCUAAUCCUCAUCUUGGCUGACUACAAGCGGAAGACUCACUUGAGCAUACAUAAGCAUCAAAUUUUUUUUAAAAAAAAGGUUUAGAAACAGUUUAUUGAAUCUUAAAACUUUGUUGAAUAUACUUAGUAUGAAAAGUAAGUUUAAAUAAAAUAUUUAAAAAUUGAAAGACUCCAAAACCGUCCAUCUAUGAAGCCUCUACUAUUAAGAAAGAAUGUCGGGACGAGACCCAUGACACCUCAAAACUACUAACUGAAAUGUAACUGUGAAGUCCUUUGGAAUACAAGAAGGUCCACCAAAGCUAACUGGAGUGUAGAGUGAUUUCAACGAAGCGUUUUUUGAUAAUCAUGAACACAUAUAUCUGCAUGUAAAUCGAAUUAUAUCAGUAUAAUGCAUUAAACUUGAAUCCAUCGCUUUAUCCUUAAUUAAUGACAUAUGUAAUAACUCAAAAUACAAUGUAAUUAACUCACAAAACUUUUAAAUAUAUAUUAUCACCGCUAAUGAUUAUAGACAUAAUCAAAUUCUUUAAUUCUUUUCGAAAACAUUUAAAAUCGUAUGCAUAAUAUAUGAUAAGAUUAAAAUAAUAAACUUACUAUGUCAAUUAUUAUCACUUUUUAUAUACGUGUCAAAUAAAUAAAAACUCAUAAAAUAUAUAUUUAUAUGAAUACUUUAUUCGAAAAAUCCGAAAAACCAGGGACUUGGAAUGGGUAACAAUUUCAUCCAAAUUAGGCAACUCGAUAUUUUGAAAAGUAUCUGAGUGGAACAUACAGUUCAUAUUUAAUUUAAUUGGACCAAUAAAAAUAGUGCAUCAAAACUCCUUAUUUGACUCACCAUAAAGAAUAAUAUUUAAUUGCUAAAAAUGAUGAAUAUAAUUAUAUUGAAAUGUAUGUUAGAUGUGCGUACCUGCAUACCUCAUAUUAAUAAAGAACUUUCAACAAUGACAUGAACCAAUUUUACUCCAAUUUCAUCUCUGAAAUUAACGUGUGACUCACGAAUAUGUUUGGUAGCUUGAAACUUCGUAUUAAUAACGUGUUAUGAAAUUAAUUUUUUAAAAAAACAAUAUAAAACAAGAAAGUAGUCAACAUAUGAGAAACAUCAUUAGAGAGAUGGAUUUUGAAUUUUUCCAAUAAGUGUUUUCGAGACCUUUGAGUGUGUAUACAAUAUGACUUAUCAUCCUUUAUUUAUAGUAUUACAUAGAGACAUGUAGACAAAAAGAAUAUCAUAUACAUUAAGGGGAAACUUAUUAAUUAUGCUCAAGAGGUAAACACCCGACACUUUCAACCUUAAAAUUGUAAGUUCGAAUCACCAAGAGAUCAGAAAAUAUAGAAGCUCAUCGGGAGAUGGAUAUAAUAUAUUUCGUAAGGAAUUUUAUCUACGGUCUUGCUACUUGGAUAAUUUAAGUGGAAUUUAAUUAAAUUCACUGUUUUAAAAGGGAGAGGUAAAAAUUAUUCUAAAAAAAUACAUCAAUUGUUUAAUUUUUUUCAAACGUAAUAAGAAGAACACAUAGAAAAUAAACCAAACCCUCUGAUAUAAUUUUACAAGUAUUAAACUAUAAAUAAUGGAUUUAUAUAAAAAGCUAUUUUGAGAUGCAAAUCAACUCGUAACAUGCAUCUUAACUUUCAAACAAUUAAAGAAUCACAAAUUCUCUCUAUAUAUUACUAUCAUAUAAUCAAUAAACUUUGUUAGAAUCAUAAUAAAUGCAUUUUUCUUUGUGGAUAAACUAAAAUUUAUUUUCACAUGACGAAAUAAUAGAAGAUGAUAGUUUUUAGAUAUAGGAUAAUAACACAAAAAUCAAUGAUAAGUGAAAGACGUAAAAUUUGAUCAUAUAUUUCUUACAAAGAAAUUAUAAGUGAUAUUCACCCUUACGAUAUUCUCAACUAGUAAUUUAGCAAUAGUACGACUUAUUCUCAUUUUCUGUUAUUUCUAUCUAUGAAAAACUAUUAAGCAAUUAUUAAUUUAUCAAAAAAUUAUAUAUGAGGAUCAACAAUGUUAACUAAGGAAUUUGACACAUACUUUUUAUAGAAAAUCUUAGGCGAGUGUUGGACAUGCAUUAAGUGUGUUUAGAGGUGUAAUCGACACUUAAGGCGUAGGCCUCACAUAACUAAUCUCCAUACGUAAACCUCUAAGCAUUUUCUCUAGGGGUAUCAAUGGGAUGGUUCAGUUGGUUACUUCAAAAAUACUAUAACAUCCCAAAUUUUUUGGAUAUUUUAUGGUGUACUAACCUAAAUUAAAUUUUUUAAAAUCAUCCCAAUCAUAUUGAUUUUUCUUUGUUAUCGAUAUGGUUCAAUUAAUUUUUGAAUAUUCUUUUUUUACUUUUAAAGUAUCACCUCAAUAUACAUAAUUAUUAGAACAUUAUAGCAAGUGUAUUUUUGAAGAAACACUUCUUAAUCAAGAAAACAAAAAUGUAAAACUUUAUCCGUCUUAUUUGAUCUUAAACUUUUAAUACGAGGGUUUGCAUAGUAUUCUAUUAUAGUAUCUUUUAAUGUUAAACCUAUCUAACUUAAGGCUAACUAGCAAGCAAAGGCCCAAAGUUGCUCAGUCACCAAGACCUUGAACCUAAUUUAUAUUAUACUUGAAAAAUGUUAUAAAAUAUAUUUAUAUAUUGAAUUUAACAUAUUUUUCAUAAAUAAAAUAUAUUUGCAUAGAUAUAAGGUUAUUAUAUUUGAUUUGGUUUGAAAAUAUUUAAGUUAUUUUUAUAAAUUAAAAAAAUUAUUUCAAUUAUUCGAGACAGUUAUACACUUAACUAAAAAAUUACAAUUUCAUAUUCUUUUGACACCCUUAAUUUUGUUAAUGCCUCACCCCACACGAACCCAAAAUUACUUUUUAAAACAAUGUUAUUCUUAGAUAAUCAAUCCUUUAUUUAUUUCAUCAAUCAAUAUCAAGAGUGUUUUUUUUUCUCCCAACAACCCAAAACAACUCCAAACACUAUCCUAAAUCCACCAACCCCCACCAAAAUUUUCUCUUUUUUUCAAUAAAGAAAAAAUAAAAUCCAACGUUGCAUGAAUGAAUCACAUUAUCCUCAAACCUCAACCGUUAAUUACACUUAAAAAUUCACCACUUUUAAUCUUUACGUACCAAUACAUUUCUUCCUCUAUUUAAACUCACCACACUUCCCUUCUAUCACAACCAAAAUAAGAAAAAAAAAUCACAACAUCUUUUUUUUUUGUAUAAAUAAAUUCCAUUUUCUUUAAAGUUUUUCAAUUACAAUUCUAUCCAUUUUCUUGAUCCAAUGGCCUCAUCAAUUGCACAAAAUGUACAUGUUAGUGUUCAUGAUCCAUUGAAUUGGGAAAUGGCUGCUGAAUCUUUAAGAGGGAGUCAUUUAGAUGAAGUGAAAAAGAUGGUAGAUGAAUUUAGGAAGACAAUUGUGAAACUUGAGGGUGAAAAUUUGACUAUUGGAGAAGUUGCAUCCAUUGCAAAUGCUAAUAACAAAACUAAUGGGGUCAAAGUGGAACUUUCUGAAAGUUCAAGGGCUUGUGUGAAAGCUAGUAGUGAUUGGAUUAUGGAUAGUGUUAGUAAAGGAAAAGAUAUUUAUGGUAUUACUACUGGUUUUGGUGCUAAUUCUAAAAGAAGAACAAAAAAUGGCGGUGGUCUUCAAAAAGAACUUAUUAGGUAAAUAAAACAACUUAAUUUUCAUCUAAAUUAUUCGAUAUAUAUAAUAUUGAUAGUGUAAAUAAUUUUAUUACUUUUACAUUUUUCGACCUUGUUUUUCGGAUCAUUGAUGAUUAUGAUGGUACUGUAGAGUUUUAGUUGUUCUUCGUGUGAUCUAAUCAUGUAAAGAUUUCUAUAGCUCUCUGUGUUAUGUCAAUUAUCUUGUUUUUUGUGUUAUUAAUUCUGUGCAUAUUUUAUGAAUUUUUUAUAUGAUCUGAUGACAUAAAAAUUAUUUUUUCGUGACGAAGUAUAAAAUUAUGUCUAACUGUCUUAUUUUUGUGUGCUAUUGAUUCCAUCGUACUUAUAUUUAUUUGUCAUGUGAUUAGAUAGCCUAAAAAAGAUUUAGUAUAUUAUAUUUUGAAGCAAUAGCUAGUAAUGGUCUACUUUUUGAGUUAAUAAAAUAAGUGAUCCACUAUAACUCUCGUCUCUUACGAGAAACUUUCUCGAUUUAUUUUUUAUAUAUUUUUGUUUGAUUUGAUAAAAUUAUUUAAAAAAAUUACUAAUAUAUGUAUUUUAUCAAAUUAUAUUUAUGAAAUGAUAUCUAGUAUUAGAUUUUGAAAAGUAAUUUAGAGAAUAAAUAUAAAAAAAAUGAUAAAUAAAAAAUAAAAAUCUAUUUUAAACUUAAUGAUAAGUAAAAGUGAAAGGAGAGUAUAUAGUCAAAUUGUAAAAAAGAAGAAGAUAAUAUUAAUGCAAUUUGACUUUUGUAGCAAGUUAUUAGUUUAUUUAUUAGUGUUAUAAAGUUAAUAAAUAAUGUCACAUAUCAUGCAUGUGAGAUAUGGAAAAGGGGAUAUUUUAAGGGCAACUUUCACGUAUAGUAAACAUAUAAAUUUUAUAUUUGUAUGCUGUAGCAAAGUUUGCAUAAUUCUACUCCAUAUCAAAUAUAUAUAUUGUAUAAUUCAAUAUACAUAUACAAUUGAAGCGAAUUGUAUAAAACGAAAUGUAUAAAAUGAGAAAGAGAAAGAAAAUUGAGCAGAGAAUUGUAUAAAACGAAUUGUAUAAUUAUAAGUGUGUAGAACGAUUAUAUACAAUUGUACAAAUGAAAAAGAGAGAAAGACAAAAGAGACUUGGGCAGGGAAUAUACAAUUGAAUCGAAUUGUAUAAAACGAGAAAGAGAAAAAAAUAUAUACAAUUUGAAUUUGUAUAAAACGAGAAAGAGAGAAAGGCAAAAGAACUGGGCAGGGAAGUAUUUUUAUUAUAUAAUUAUAAGUGUAUAGGACGAACAUAUAUGUAUUUGCAUGUGUAUAUACAAUUUUCUCUCGCUUUAUACAAAAAGAAACACAAUUUAUACAGUUCGUUUAUGUUUCUAUAAGCGAGAGAGACGACGGUGGCGAGCAAGAUCUGGAAGAGGGGAGAGAGGGGAAGAAAAAUAUAUAUAUUUAUACAAUUUUCUCUCGCUUUAUACAAAUGAAAACAUAUUUUAUACACUUGUGUUUGUAUAAAAGUGAGAGGAAGCGAAAGAGAGAGGAGAGUGGCGAGCGAGAGUUUGAGGGAGAGAGGUGACUGACAAACAGUUUGCUACGGGGCACAAUUAAAUCAAAGGAUGGUUACAGCAAUUAAUUUGAUUUAUUAAUUUGUCAUUAUAUACAAUUUUCCCAUAUUUUAAUCAUUUCACUUCAUUCAAAUCUUUUCUUUUCUAAAAAACAAUAAUUCUUUAUCAACUUGAAAGGUCGUGUGAAGACUAACAAAUGUAAUUAAACAAUGCGACAUUGAAUAAAAAUAACUCGAGUUAGUAGUUUAGUCUGAAAAUGUUUCUACCAUCAAUAAUUUGAUCCAAAAAUUGGAUGCUUGUGCUCGAAUCUUUGACACAUGCUGUUUUGAUGAUACAUGUUCUAUUUUGUAUAUAUAUAGUUAAUAGAAUUCAGUUCAAAGUCUAAUGUUGAAUUUACAGGUUCUUGAAUGCUGGAGUAUUUGGCAAUGGAACAGAAAGUUGUCAUACAUUGCCACACUCAGCAACAAGGGCAGCUAUGCUUGUUAGGAUCAACACUCUGCUUCAAGGCUACUCUGGCAUUAGAUUUGAAAUCUUGGAAGCAAUUACAAAGUUGAUCAACAGUAACAUCACCCCAUGUUUGCCCCUCCGUGGCACGCUCACUGCCUCGGGUGAUCUAGUCCCUCUAUCCUACAUUGCUGGUUUGCUCAUUGGUAGGCCUAAUUCCAAGGCUGUUGGACCCAAUGGUGAGAUACUUAAUGCUGAAGAAGCGUUUCGCGUUGCUGGUAUUAGUGGUGGAUUUUUCGAGUUCCAGCCUAAGGAAGGAUUUGCAAUUACAAAUAGCACAGCAGUUGGUUCUGGUAUGGCAUCAAUUGUCCUGUUUGAGUCCAACAUUCUUGUUGUAAUGUCUGAAGUUUUAUCAGCGAUUUUCGCUGAAGUGAUGAAUGGAAAGCCUGAAUUCACUGACCAUUUGACACACAAGUUGAAGUAUCAUCCUGGUCAAAUUGAGGCUGCUGCUAUUAUGGAACAUAUUUUGGAUGGCAGCUCUUAUGUGAAGGCAGCUCAAAAGCUUCAUGAAAUGGAUCCUCUUCAAAAACCAAAGCAAGAUCGUUAUGCUCUCCGAACAUCUCCACAAUGGCUUGGACCUCAAAUUGAAAUCAUUCGUGCUGCAACUAAGAUGAUUGAGAGGGAGAUUAACUCAGUGAAUGACAAUCCGUUGAUCGAUGUUUCAAGAAGCAAGGCAUUGCAUGGUGGUAAUUUCCAAGGCACCCCUGUUGGUGUCUCUAUGGAUAAUACAAGAUUGGCUCUUGCAUCAAUUGGGAAAUUGAUGUUUGCUCAGUUCUCGGAACUUGUCAACGACUAUUACAACAAUGGGUUGCCAUCUAAUCUCACAGGAGGAAGGGAUCCAAGCUUGGACUAUGGUUUCAAGGGAGCUGAAAUCGCGAUGGCUUCUUACUGCUCGGAACUUCAGUUCUUGGCAAAUCCAGUCACUAACCAUGUCCAAAGUGCUGAGCAACACAACCAAGAUGUGAACUCCUUGGGCUUAAUCUCCGCUAGGAAAACAGCUGAGGCUGUCGAUAUCUUGAAGCUAAUGUCAUCAACCUAUUUAGUGGCACUUUGCCAAUCUAUAGACUUGAGGCAUUUGGAGGAAAACUUGAAGAAUGCAGUAAAGGACACAGUUAGCCAAGUAGCAAAGAGAACUUUGACAAUGGAUGCUAAUGGUGAGCUUCAUCCAGCAAGAUUCUGCGAAAAGGAAUUGCUUCUAGUCGUGGACAGGGAAUACUUGUUUGCCUAUGCUGAUGAUCCUUGCAGUUCCAACUACCCUUUGAUGCAGAAGCUGAGACAAGUCCUUGUUGAUUAUGCAAUGAAGAAUGGUGAAAGUGAGAAAAAUGUGAACAGCUCAAUCUUCCAAAAAAUUGGAGCUUUCGAGGACGAAUUAAAGGUUGUGUUGCCUGAUGAAGUAGAGAAUGCAAGAGUUGUUCUUGAAGGUGGAAGCCCUUUAAUUCCUAACAGGAUCACAGAAUGCAGAUCAUAUCCAUUGUACAGGUUUGUAAGGAAAGAACUUGGAACAGAAUUGUUGACAGGAGAAAGAGUCCGAUCGCCCGGCGAGGAUGUUGACAAGGUGUUCACAGCAUUGUGCAAUGGACAAAUCAUUGAUCCAUUGUUGGAGUGUCUCAAGAGCUGGAAUGGUGCUCCUCUUCCAAUCUUUUAGGUGUCUUGCAAAAAAAAAAAGACCUUUUUUGAAAGCAAUGGUGAAAAAGAUGUCCUGUAUUUGGAUUUGGCUUUGUUUUUUUUCUUGGAUAUGUUUGUUUCAGGUUGUUUAACACAAGACAACAAUAAAUAUGUUUUUAGUUUCAAAUAAGUUGGGUCUAAGAAUCCUCAUUUCUAUAUUAAAGUUCAACUCAUGUCAUCACC